rnacentral:tRNA from 1 species
GCCUUCGUGGUGUAGUGAUCAGCACGCUCGACGCGUAACCGAAAGGUCCGUGGUUCGAUUCCCGGCGAAGCCG